GUCUGGAUUAACUUUGUGGAAAUCGCACUACUUGCAAGCGUUGCCGGUAUGCUUAAAGACUCCGCAGUUUAGGUCGAACGGAUCGGAUGGAAUUAACUGAGCCCCAAUAAAAUUUAUUUUUAUCAAUUAAUAACUCACCAGGUAUUUAUGGCGGAGUGUCGGCUGUGAAACUGAAGUCGGUCUGAUUAGCCCUGGUCUUGGAAAUGAAUUGGUUUAUCCAGUGUGGAAGUUAGUCAAGGGCAGAAACUGCAAGGGAAAUUUAUAAUGAGAACUUCAGAAUGAUCGGCGCUGGUUUGAAGAAUAUUUUCGCAAAAUCUAAAUUAGUCAUGGACCAGAUGGACAUUUUUAACAAUUUUGUCAUUGCUGAGUUCGAGUAAAAUCCCUUAGUCACAUGAAGGAAAAAUUUAGUUGUUUGCUACA